rnacentral:rRNA from 2 species
UACGUACUGUGCGAACGUUAUUCGGAAUCACUGGGCUUAAAGGGUGCGUAGGCGGCCAAUUAAGUAGGGUGUGAAAGGUUACGGCUCAACCGUGACAUUGCGCUCUAGACUGCUUGGCUCGAGUGAGAUAGGGGUGUGCGGAACUUCCAGUGGAGCGGUGAAAUGUGUUGAUAUUGGAAGGAACGCCGGUGGCGAAAGCGGCACACUGGGUCUUAACUGACGCUGAGGCACGAAAGCCAGGGGAGCGAACGGG